rnacentral:misc_RNA from 1 species
CGCACAUUGCGCCCUUCAGUAUUCUGGAGGGCAUACCUGUUCGAGCGUCAUUAUCAACCAUCAAGCUCGGCUUGCUAUUGGGCCUUGAUCGUUAAAGAUUAACCCGAAAGAUAACGACGGUGUCACGGUUGGAUACCUGAUGCAACGAGCUUUACAGCAUGCAUCUAGUUAAGAUCUGGCCCCCGUUUUAACUAUGAUAUCUCCAAAAGUUGACCUCGGAUCAGGUAGGAUUACCCGCUGAACUUAA